rnacentral:rRNA from 1 species
AUUGAACGCUGGCGGCAUGCCUUACACAUGCAAGUCGAACGGCAGCACGGGAGCAAUCCUGGUGGCGAGUGGCGAACGGGUGAGUAAUAUAUCGGAACGUGCCCGGUCGUGGGGGAUAACGUAGCGAAAGCUACGCUAAUACCGCAUACGAUCUACGGAUGAAAGCGGGGGAUCGCAAGACCUCGCGCGAUUGGAGCGGCCGAUAUCAGAUUAGGUAGUUGGUGAGGUAAAGGCUCACCAAGCCGACGAUCUGUAGCUGGUCUGAGAGGACGACCAGCCACACUGGGACUGAGACACGGCCCAGACUCCUACGGGAGGCAGCAGUGGGGAAUUUUGGACAAUGGGCGCAAGCCUGAUCCAGCAAUGCCGCGUGCAGGAUGAAGGCCUCGGUUGUAACUAGCUUUGUUACGGAACGAAACGGUAGAGCUCUAAUACAGUUGUCUAAUGACGGUACCGUAAGAAUAAGACA